rnacentral:rRNA from 1 species
UACGGAGGAUGCGAGCGUUAUCCGGAUUUAUUGGGUUUAAAGGGUGCGUAGGCGGUCCGUUAAGUCAGCGGUAAAAUUGCGGGGCUCAACCCCGUCGAGCCGUUGAAACUGGCAGACUUGAGUUGGCGAGAAGUACGCGGAAUGCGCGGUGUAGCGGUGAAAUGCAUAGAUAUCACGCAGAACCCCGAUUGCGAAGGCAGCCUGCCAAGCCAUGACUGACGCUGAUGCACGAAAGCGUGGGGAUCGAACAGG